ACUAGCUANCUGAAAUCAUUAAUGUCUCCACCGUGUCUCAUUAAUGAUGUCGUAAAGGAAAAUAAUGAUGAUACUUUACUAUGAGCGUUGUCCAAGAUCUAGUGCCAGAAGACUCGGUAAGGCUAGGGACGCAAACGUUAACCGUCUUAAACAGGCGUAAAGGGUUUGUAGGCAGCUUUAAGUAUCCNCUUNCUAAUAUAGCUAUACUUCNCACAUAAAUUAUUUUUGUUUUUCUUCCAUAUUUAAAAAGGUUUUAUNAAAAAAUAAUUAGUAAAUAGUAGAUACAAUAAAAUUGUAGUUAAAAAAAAGAUCAAUUGAAGCUAGAAUCUAGAGGGGGAUAUAUGAAUAACACUUAGAGUAGAGCUGAGAUCCUUAAAAACUAAGUAGAAUAUUAGAGGCGUAGGCUUUUUAUCCUGUAAAGAUUGACGCUGAGAAACGAAGGUGAGGAUAGGAAAUAGGAUUAGAGACCCAGUUACCCCUCUCUGUCAACGAUGAAUGGUGGCUGCUAGGAAUAUAAUUUGUUAAUAUAAAUUAUAAAAUAAAAAUUCUGGUGGCGAGGCUAACGCGUGAACCAUUCCGCCUUGUGAGUACGGCUGCAAAGCUGAAAUNNAAAAAAUUAGUCGA
rnacentral:rRNA from 1 species